rnacentral:rRNA from 1 species
GGGGAUAACCUUGCGAAAGUAAGACUAAUACCCAAUGAUAUCUCUAGAAGACAUCUGAAGGAGAUUAAAGAUUUAUCGGUGAUGGAUGGGGAUGCGUCUGAUUAUCUUGUUGGCGGGGUAACGGCCCACCAAGGCUACGAUCAGUAGGGGUUCUGAGAGGAAGGUCCCCCACAUUGGAACUGAGACACGGUCCAAACUCCUACGGGAGGCAGCAGUGAGGAAUAUUGGUCAAUGGACGAGAGUCUGAACCAGCCAAGUAGCGUGCAGGAUGACGGCCCUAUGGGUUGUAAACUGCUUUUAUAAGGGAAUAAAGUGAGCCUCGUGAGGCUUUUUGCAUGUACCUUAUGAAUAAGGACCGGCUAAUUCCGUGCCAGCAGCCGCGGUAAUACGGAAGGUCCGGGCGUUAUCCGGAUUUAUUGGGUUUAAAGGGAGCGUAGGCCGGAGAUUAAGCGUGUUGUGAAAUGUAGAUGCUCAACAUCUGCACUGCAGCGCGAACUGGUUUCCUUGAGUACGCACAAAGU